GCUGGGCAUGGUGGCGCGUGCCUGUAAUCCCAGCUACUCAGGAGGCUGAGGCGGGAGAAUUGCCUGAACCCAGGAGGCGGGGGUUGCGGUGAGCCGAGAUCAAGCCAUUGCACUCCAGCCUGGGUAACAAGAGCGAAACUCCGUCUCAA
rnacentral:sRNA from 13 species